rnacentral:rRNA from 1 species
AUUGAACGCUGGCGGCAGGCCUAACACAUGCAAGUCGAGCGGAUGAAGGGAGCUUGCUCCUGGAUUCAGCGGCGGACGGGUGAGUAAUGCCUAGGAAUCUGCCUGGUAGUGGGGGAUAACGUCCGGAAACGGGCGCUAAUACCGCAUACGUCCUGAGGGAGAAAGUGGGGGAUCUUCGGACCUCACGCUAUCAGAUGAGCCUAGGUCGGAUUAGCUAGUUGGUGGGGUAAAGGCCUACCAAGGCGACGAUCCGUAACUGGUCUGAGAGGAUGAUCAGUCACACUGGAACUGAGACACGGUCCAGACUCCGACGGGAGGCAGCAGUGGGGAAUAUUGGACAGUGGGCGAAAGCCUGAUCCAGCCAUGCCGCGUGUGUGAAGAAGGUCUUCGGAUUGUAAAGCACUUUAAGAUGGGAGGAAGGGCAGUAAGUUAAUACCUUGCUGUUUUGACGUUACCAACAGAAGAAGCACCGGCUAACUUCGU